UAGAGAAGCCUAACCUUACACAUCUUCUGAUUGUGGGCGAUCCGGAGGCGAGAUAAGUGCCUCUCUGCUCUCUUCAUCGGCUUUCUGAGACACAAUCGGCGUCUUGCCAGGAUAUAGUACAUAAUGUUGAAGCAUGAAAAGAAGAUCAAAGAAUAUGCUUAUCAAAGAGAGCAAUGUCUUCCCAAUAUUGCCAUAAAAGUUUACCCAUGAAUUUUGAUCUAUGGACUGCACUGUCAUCUGUGCAUA
rnacentral:misc_RNA from 1 species